CCUACGGGUGGCAGCAGUGAGGAAUAUUGGUCAAUGGGCGGGAGCCUGAACCAGCCAAGUCGCGUGAGGGACGACGGUCCUAUGGAUUGUAAACCUCUUUUGUCGGGGAACAAAGGCGCCCACGGGUGGGCGGAUGAGUGUACCCGAAGAAAAAGCAUCGGCUAACUCCGUGCCAGCAGCCGCGGUAAUACGGAGGAUGCGAGCGUUAUCCGGAUUUAUUGGGUUUAAAGGGAGCGUAGGUGGAUUGUUAAGUCAGUUGUGAAAGUUUGCGGCUCAACCGUAAAAUUGCAGUUGAAACUGGCAGUCUUGAGUACAGUAGAGGUGGGCGGAAUUCGUGGUGUAGCGGUGAAAUGCAUAGAUAUCACGCAGAACUCCGAUUGCGAAGGCAGCUUACUAAACUAUAACUGACACUGAAGCACGAAAGCGUGGGGAUCAAACAGGAUUAGAUACCCCAGUAGUC
rnacentral:rRNA from 1 species